rnacentral:rRNA from 1 species
AGUGAACGCUGGCGGUAGGCCUAACACAUGCAAGUCGAACGGCAGCACAGUAAGAGCUUGCUCUUACGGGUGGCGAGUGGCGGACGGGUGAGGAAUACAUCGGAAUCUACUUUUUCGUGGGGGAUAACGUAGGGAAACUUACGCUAAUACCGCAUACGACCUACGGGUGAAAGCAGGGGAUCUUCGGACCUUGCGCGAUUGAAUGAGCCGAUGUCGGAUUAGCUAGUUGGCGGGGUAAAGGCCCACCAAGGCGACGAUCCGUAGCUGGUCUGAGAGGAUGAUAAGCCACACUGGAACGGAGACACGCUCCAGACGCCUGCGGGAGGCAGCAGUGGGGAAUAUUGGACAAUGGGCGCAAGCCUGAUCCAGCCAUCCCGCGUGGGUGAAGAAGGCCUUCGGGUUGUAAAGCCCUUUUGUUGGGAAAGAAAAGCAGCAGGUUAAUACCCCGCUGUUCUGACGGUACCCAAAGAAUAAGCACCGGCUAACUUCGUG